UGCCAACUAUACAGAAAAAUCUUCUGCUAAUUAUAGACUUGUAUUUUAACAGCAGCCACUGAACAAGCCACAGUCCUACAAGGAUCAUGCCAUUAAUUUCACAAAUAGAAAAGGCCCAUUGCACCCGAUCAAAACGAUCAAAAAAUGCAUCUGGUAGGGGAGGCUGCACCUCCUUGGGAGGCACUCGUUCGUGAACAACUGAGAUAGUCACUGUGGUAAAGAUGAAACAAAAAAGUGCAUAAAUAAAAGCCAGGAAAGUCUUCCCCCAUUCCAUGGGAUACUGCAAGCGUUCUGGCUCUGGCAUGGGGAUCUUUAUCAUCUCCUUCUUAUAACCAUUUGGC
rnacentral:lncRNA from 1 species